rnacentral:rRNA from 1 species
AGUGAACGCUGGCGGUAGGCCUAACACAUGCAAGUCGAACGGCAGCACAGUAAUAGCUUGCUCUUACGGGUGGCGAGUGGCGGACGGGUGAGGAAUACAUCGGAAUCUACUUUUUCGUGGGGGAUACCGUAGUGAAACUUACGCUAAUACCCCAUACGACCUACGGGUGAAAGCAGGGGAUCUUCGGACCUUGCGCGAUUGAAUGAGCCGAUGUCGGAUUAGCUAGUUGGCGGGGUAAAGGCCCACCAAGGCGACGAUCCGUAGCUGGUCUGAGAGGAUGAUCAGCCACACUGGAACUGAGACACGGUCCAGACUCCUACGGGAGGCAGCAGUGGGGAAUAUUGGACAAUGGGCGCAAGCCUGAUCCAGCCAUACCGCGUGGGUGAAGAAGGCCUUCGGGUUGUAAAGCCCUUUUGUUGGGAAAGAAAAGCAGCAGGUUAAUACCCCGCUGUUCUGACGGUACCCAAAGAAUAAGCACCGGCUAACUUCGUG